CCCUUAGAUGUUCUGGGCCGCACGCGCGCUACACUGACGAAUGCAACGAGCUUAUAACCUUGGCCGAAAGGUCUGGGUAAUCUCCAAAUUUCGUCGUGAUGGGGAUAGAUUAUUGCAAUUAUUAAUCUUCAACGAGGAAUGCCUAGUAAACGCAAGUCAUCAACUUGCAUUGAUUACGUCCCUGCCCUUUGUACACACCGCCCGUCGCACCUACCGAUUGAAUGGUCCGGUGAAGCCUCCGGAUUGGCGCGCACCUCGGUGCCGCCGAGAAGUUGGCUAAACCUUACCAUUUAGAGGAAGGUGAANUCGUAACA
rnacentral:rRNA from 1 species